rnacentral:rRNA from 1 species
GACGAACGCUGGCGGCGUGCUUAACACAUGCAAGUCGAACGGUGAAGGGACGGGUUUUGCUGGUCCUGGAUGAGUGGCGAACGGGGGAGGAACACGUGAGUAACCUGCUCCCUUACUCUGGAGAACCGCAUGAAAGUGUGGCUAGCACGGGAGAUUUUGGGUCUGUCGCAGGGUGGGCCUGGGAAAGAUUGUGCCUUUCUUGGUUAUAUUGGUUGGGGAUGGGCUCGCGGCCUAGCAGCUUGUUGGGGGGGUGAGGGCCUCCCAAGGCGGUGACGGGUAGCCCGCCUGAGAGGGUGAACGGUCACACUAGGUCUGAGACACGUCGCAGGCUUCUGCGGGGAGCAGCAGUGGGGUAUAUUGCACAAUGGGCGCAAGCCUGAUGCCGCGACGCCGCGUGAGAGAUAGAGGCCUUCGGGUUGUGAACCUCUUUCGCGCGUGAAGCAGGCCUGCCUCUUUUUGUGGGUGGGUUGACGGUAGCUGGAUAAGAAGCGCCGGCUAACUACGUG